GAUGAACGCUGGCGGCGUGCCUAACACAUGCAAGUCGAGCGAUUCUCUUCGGAGAAGAGCGGCGGACGGGUGAGUAACGCGUGGGUAACCUGCCCUGUACACACGGAUAACAUACCGAAAGGUAUGCUAAUACGAGAUAAUAUGCUUUUAUCGCAUGGUAGAAGUAUCAAAGUUUUUGCGGUACAGGAUGGACCCGCGUCUGAUUAGCUAGUUGGUAAGGUAACGGCUUACCAAGGCGACGAUCAGUAGCCGACCUGAGAGGGUGAUCGGCCACAUUGGAACUGAGACACGGUCCAAACUCCUACGGGAGGCAGCAGUGGGGAAUAUUGCACAAUGGGCGAAAGCCUGAUGCAGCAACGCCGCGUGAGCGAUGAAGGCCUUCGGGUCGUAAGACUCUGUCCUCAAGGAAGAUAAUGACGGUACUUGAGGAGGAAGCCCCGGCUAACUACGUG
rnacentral:rRNA from 1 species